rnacentral:rRNA from 1 species
AUGGCAUGGUUCGCCUCACUGGCCCUUCUUGGCGCCCUCCACGUAGCCGCCUUGGCGUUCCCCGUCCUCUCGCACCUGGCCCUCUGCCUGCGCCGGCACAAGGACCUCCGACGCCGCUACGGCGCGUGGGCCGUCGUCACCGGGCCAACAUCCGGCAUGGGGCGGUCCACGGCCCUGGAGCUCGCGCGCAGGGGGAUGAACCUCGUCCUCGUCGGCCGCAACCCGGCCAAGCUCCGGGACAUCUCCGCGGCCAUAUCCAAGGCCGCUCCCGCCGUCCAGACCAAGACCGUCGUGUUGGACCUGUCGCUCGUCUCCACCGCUCAGGGCGACGAGGCGAUGCGGCGGCUACGGCGGACCGUGGAGGCGCUGGACGUGGGCGUGCUGGUGAACAACGCCGGGGUGCUGGAUCCCCCCGCGGCGUUCCUGCACGACGCCGGCGUGGAGGCGUGGGUGGACAUGAUACGGGUGAACCUGCUGGCGCUGACCGAGGUGACGGCGGCGGUGAUUCCGGGGAUGGUGGAGCGCCGGAGGGGAGCUGUGGUGAACUUCGGCUCGAUGUCAUCGGAGGCCCUCCCCUCCUUGCCCCUCUACACCAUGUACGCCGCCACGAAACGCUACGUUGCUCGGUUCUCCAAGUGCCUUCACCUCGAGUAUAGAAGCAAAGGAAUCGAUGUGCAAUGCCAGGCACCGUUCUUCGUGACCGGCGCCAUGGCGUCGGGCUUCUCGGAGGCCAAGCUCUUCGCGCCGUUGACGCCGACGCCCGACGACUACGCGCGCGCAGCAGUGCGCUGGAUCGGCCACGGCGCGCUCUGCGUGCCCAACUUGCGGCACCAGAUCGCGUGGUUCAUAGCCUACGUCGUGCCCGACUGGUUGCUCGAGGAGCUCCUCCUGCGUGAGCACCUGUGGCAGAGGAAGGAGCUACGGAGGAUGAGGCCGUUGCCGCGUGCCCCAGCCGGGAGUCGGGACCUAGUAAGCUACACAUGCACCAGCGGCUGCCUCAGUUGA